GACGUAGGAGGCGAGCGUUGUCCGGAGUUACUGGGCGUAAAGCGCGCGCAGGCGGUCACGCAGGUCAGCUGUGAAAGCCCCGAGCUUAACUUGGGAAUUGCGGUUGAAACUGGCGGACUAGAAUCUGGCAGAGGGGGGUGGAAUUCCACGUGUAGCAGUGAAAUGCGUAGAGAUGUGGAGGAACACCGAUGGCGAAGGCAGCCCCCUGGGCUGAGAUUGACGCUCAGGCACGAAAGCGUGGGGAGCAAACAGG
rnacentral:rRNA from 1 species